UACGGAGGGGGCUAGCGUUGUUCGGAAUUACUGGGCGUAAAGCGCGCGUAGGCGGCUUUGUAAGUUAGAGGUGAAAGCCCAGGGCUCAACCCUGGAAUUGCCUUUAAGACUGCAUCGCUUGAACAUCGGAGAGGUAAGUGGAAUUCCGAGUGUAGAGGUGAAAUUCGUAGAUAUUCGGAAGAACACCAGUGGCGAAGGCGACUUACUGGACGAUUGUUGACGCUGAGGUGCGAAAGCGUGGUGAGCAAACAGG
rnacentral:rRNA from 1 species